UGGGGAAUUUUGGACAAUGGGCGAAAGCCUGAUCCAGCAAUGCCGCGUGUGUGAAGAAGGCCUUCGGGUUGUAAAGCACUUUUGUCCGGAAAGAAAUCCUUGGCUCUAAUACAGUCGGGGGAUGACGGUACCGGAAGAAUAAGCACCGGCUAACUACGUGCCAGCAGCCGCGGUAAUACGUAGGGUGCAAGCGUUAAUCGGAAUUACUGGGCGUAAAGCGUGCGCAGGCGGUUUGCUAAGACCGAUGUGAAAUCCCCGGGCUCAACCUGGGAACUGCAUUGGUGACUGGCAGGCUAGAGUAUGGCAGAGGGGGGUAGAAUUCCACGUGUAGCAGUGAAAUGCGUAGAGAUGUGGAGGAAUACCGAUGGCGAAGGCAGCCCCCUGGGCCAAUACUGACGCUCAUGCACGAAAGCGUGGGGAGCAAAACAGGAUUAGAUACCCCUGGUAGUCCACGCCCUAAACGAUGUCAACUAGUUGUUGGGGAUUCAUUUCCUUAGUAACGUAGCUAACGCGUGAAGUUGACCGCCUGGGGAGUACGGUCGCAAGAUUAAAACUCAAAUGAAUUGACGGGGUCAUAGCUGUUUCCU
rnacentral:rRNA from 1 species